AAGCAGUCUGUCUUGAAGAGUUAUACACAAUAUAUCCCUUUGCCAAUCAGUGACCUUGAUUCUUGGUUGAAGACACCCUCCAUAUAUGUUUUUGAUUGCUCUGCGGCUGGGGGAAUAUUGUGAAUGCUUUUAUUGAGCUUCAUGAUUGGGUUGCUUCUAGCUCCUCUGGAUCCACAAGGGAUUGCAUUGUACUUGGAGCUUGUGAAGCACAUGAGACUCUUCCACAAAGUGCUGAAUUUCCUGUAGAUGUGUUUACGUCUUGUCUCACAACACCUAUUAAGAUGGCUUUGAGAUGGAUCUUGCAGGCAAAGGACACCAAGUGAAUUAGAUAGAGAGGUUAAGAACUUGAGGGUGGCCUUUACUGACCUGUUUUUGAAGCAUAACACUUUCAAAGAAACUGCAAAGCCAUCGAGAUAUUGAUGCAAAGAAUGGAAGAAUGUAUUUCACUAAUUUUUGUAUACAUUUCUUGUUUUGUAUUUAGUGAUAAAGGAAUCUGAAUUGGGCAUAAAUUAUGUUGUAAUAUGAUUUCUUAAGCCUA